rnacentral:tRNA from 1 species
GCCCGAAUAGCUCAGUUGGUCAGAGCAACCGCCUUGUAAGCGGUAGGUCGUCGGUUCGAAUCCGACUUCGGGCUCCU